ACUUACAUGUUUAAUCCCGCCACAUUAUUUAUGUAUGUGCCUGUCCCAAGUCAGCAGCCUGUAAUUCAGUGGUUGUCGUUUGUUUAUGUGUUACAUAUUUGUUUUUUCGUUCAUUUUUUUUUUAGAUAAAUAAGGCCGUUUGUUUUCUCGUUUGAAUUGUUUUACAUUGUCUUAUCUGGGCCUUUUAUAGCUCACUAUGCGGUAUGGACUUUGCUCAUUGUUGAAGGCCGUACGGUGACCUAUAGUUGUUAAUAUCUGUGUCAUGUUGGUCUUUUGUGGAUAGUUGUCUCAUUGGCAAUCAUACCACAUCUUCUUUUUUAU
rnacentral:lncRNA from 1 species